AUGGAUGAACCCAGCGAGAUGCAACAGAUGAUCGAUGCCAUAAGAAUGACGCUGGAGUUAUUGGGUGAUGGUGAAACGUCGACGAAUAUUUCUGCCUAUGACACGGCAUUGGUCGCCCUUGUCAAGAACCUUGAGGGAGGUGAUGGACCGCAAUUCCCCUCAUGCAUUGACUGGAUUGUUCAAAAUCAACUACCGGAUGGUUCAUGGGGUGACCCCGCUUUCUUUAUGGUCCAAGAUCGGAUGAUUAGCACCCUGGCAUGUGUGGUAGCACUGAAGUCUUGGAAAAUUGACAGCGCCAACUUGUAUGAUAGAGGUGUGUCAUUUAUCCAAGAAAAUAUGAGCAGGUUGGUAGAAGAGGAACAGGAUUGGAUGCCAUCCGGCUUCGAGAUUAACUUCCCAGCACUCCUAGACAGGGCCAAGGACCUAAAUUUGGACAUCCCUUAUAAUCACCCUGUUUUGGAAGAGAUAUAUGCCAAGAGAAAUCUAAAGCUCUCGAAGAUCCCUCUGGAACUACUACACGCCACACCAACUACCCUACUUUUCAGCUUGGAGGGAAUGACAGACUUGCAGUUGGACUGGGAAAAGCUACUCAAGUUGCAGUGCCCGGACGGCUCCUUCCACUCCUCGCCUGCUGCCACAGCUGCUGCCCUCAGUCACACUGGUGACAAGGAAUGCCUUGCAUUUCUGAGAAGUUCGACGGGGGAGUGCCAUGUACCCAUGCGAUGGAUAUUUUUGAGCAGUUAUGGGUGGUCGAUCGGCUGA
rnacentral:rRNA from 1 species